rnacentral:tRNA from 1 species
AGGGCUAGAACUCAACUAUAGAGCACCUCGUUUAAUGACCAGGAAUGUUUAUAGUUCGAACCCGUACAGUCCUA